CAUACACAUUAGCACACUGAUACAUGCACACAUCUGGACACAUGCACAGACUGAUACAAACAGACUGGCGUAUACACACACAGACACAUACAUACAUACACACACACACACAGAUACAAAGAUAAAAACACUGGCACAUCCACACACAGAGAUACACACUUACACACACUGACACAGAUAUAGACACACAUUAAGAUGCACACAGACACACGGGUACACAUGCAGGGGUGUAUUUGUGUGCAGUGUUGGCAAAGGAAUGCUGGGAUGUAUGCAUUGCCACACAGAUGCACACUUACACAAACACUGAGAUACACACAGGAACACAGAUACACAUGCAGUGGUGUAUUUGUGUGCAGUGUUAGCGUUGGAAUGUAGUAGUGUAUAUGUGUGCAGUGUUGGUACUGGAAUGAUGGAACGUAUGCAUUGCCACACGCAUAGAUACACACUUACACAACCUGACACUCAUAUACAUACACAGACACGCAGGUACACAUACAAACUGACACACAAGUACACGGACACAGGUAUACAUCCACAUAGAUACACAUAAACACUGACACAAAGGUACACAUACACUGACACAAACACAGCCAGAUACACACACACUGACACUCACACAGCCAGAUACACACAUACAGCCAGAUACAAACGCACACACAUACAGAUACACACGCAUAAAGUCAGAUACACACACACACAGUCAGAUACACACACACACAGUCAGAUACACACACAGACAUAGUCAGAUACACACACAUAGUCAGAUACACACACACAGUCAGAUACACACACAUAGUCAGAUACACACACAUAGUCAGAUAUACACACACAGUCAGAUACACACACACAGUCAGAUAUACACACACACAGUCAGAUACACACACAUAGUCAGAUACACACACACACAGUCAGAUACACACACACAGUCAGAUACACACACACACAGUCAGAUACACACAUAGUCAGAUACACACACACAUAGUCAGAUACACACACAUAGUCAGAUACACACA